rnacentral:rRNA from 1 species
GAGCCUGAGAAACGGCUACCACAUCCAAGGAUGGCAGCAGGCGCGCAAAUUACCCAAUCCCGACACGGGGAGGUAGUGACAAUAAAUAACAAUACGGGGUUCUUUCGGAUCUCGUAAUUGGAAUGAGUACAAUUUAAAUCUCUUAACGAGGAACAAUUGGAGGGCAAGUCUGGUGCCAGCAGCCGCGGUAAUUCCAGCUCCAAUAGCGUAUANNNAAGUUGUUGCAGUUAAAAAGCUCGUAGUUGAAUUUCGGGGUUAGUAGGUUGGUCAUGCCUCCGGUAUGUACUGGUCUCACUGAUUCCUCCUUCCUUAUGAACCGUAAUGCCAUUAAUUUGGUGUUGCGGGGAAUUUGGACUGUUACUUUGAAAAAAUUAGAGUGUUUAAAGCAGGCUAACGCUUGAAUACAUUAGCAUGGAAUAAUGAAAUAGGACGUUCGAUCUUAUUUUGUUGGUUUCUAGGAUUGACGUAAUGAUUAAUAGGGAUAGUUGGGGGCAUUAGUAUUCAAUUGUCAGAGGUGAAAUUCUUGGAUUUAUUGAAGACUAACUACUGCGAAAGCAUUUGCCAAGGAUGUUUUCAUUAAUCAAGAACGAAAGUUAGGGGAUCGAAGACGAUCAGAUACCGUCGUAGUCUUAACCAUAAACUAUGCCGACUAGGGAUCGGAUGAUGUUAAUUUUUUAAUGACUCAUUCGGCGCCUUACGGGAA